CUGGAUGGGGGGAGGGGAACUUAUAUGUGAACAAGUGGCCGUUUGGGUUCCAUAAAAUAAGAAUCCUGGACUUAUCUUUUAGGCUUCUUUUUAAUUUGAACAAGGCUUUGUGAUGGGUUUUGGUUUCAGUAAAUCGAAUAUGAAACUUACUAAAUAUAUGGGUGUUUCCAUUGAUUGGUAGGGAAAUAAAAGAAACAAACUGGAUUUGAUAGAAGCUGUCCAAUUGGUUAUGUUAUAUAUUUUUAGACAAGGAAGAACUAGAAAAGAAAUAAAGAUUAAGAAAUAGAGGAAUAGAAGUAAGAUGAGUAUUUGGGAAUCCAUAACCAAUUUGAAUUAAUAAAAUUUUAUUGUUAUUUCAGGAUUGAGGCUGUGAGGAUAUUCCAAAAGCAAAAUGUCUAAAUUAGCUUGAAGCCUAUAAUUUAGUGAGUGAAAAAAUAUAAAUAUUUUUAAAGUAUUUAUAAAUUAAGUAUAUUAUCAAAGUAUAUGCAAUUAUGUGUUCGAAUUAUAUGGUUAUUAUGGAUAUAUCUUUUAUUAUGAUACAUGUGGACUUUCAAUUAUUGUAUAUGGUACAUUGUGAAUUAUGUGAUCUUGAGAUCGACCAGAAAAGUGCCCGUUAUUAUAUAUUUCUUCUAGUUCAUAGAGGGGCUUUGGCCGUGUUCUAUACUACACUGAGGGAUCGACUGGGGAUGAAGGGGUUGUGACCAUGUACAUAUAGUUCACUGAGGGGCCUUGACCGUGUUCUAUAAUUGAUUAUCAAAGGUCUUUGAGACCCGCUUUCAUCAUGGAGGGGCCCAAAGGCCUAUGGCAAAAGUGCUUGCCUGAUGGGUGGAUUUAAGAUUUUAGCCAGAGAGUACAUUUUUGAUGGAUCACAUGUGAUGAGAUGAUUGUAUAGAUAUUAGCUGAUGACUAUAUCGUGAUUAAGAGAUGAUAUUUACAGUGAUAUGAGUAUGUCUCACUUUUUUUCUAUAAUUGUACGAGGCUAUCAUGUGAAAUAUUAAAUGAUACGAACUCGAUGUUUGAUAAAAAUGUUUAAAGGAGAAAGUAUGAUUAUUUUGCGAACUAUUUCACUCACCAAAUUGUCAACUCAUAUUUUUCUAAAAUUAUUUUUACAGGGAAUAUUGGUCUUUGGUAGUUUGAGGAGCUUGGUGAUUUCAAAGUUAGAGCCACACGACGUGUUGAAGGAUAUGAGUCAAAUAUGAUUAAACCACAAAGUAAAGUUUUGGGCCCAUUGCACUAUGUUUUUAUAAACAUUUAACUUUAUUGCAUAUCUUGUAGUAACUAAUAGUGAGCCUUGAUAAUGGAUUUGACAUCUAGUCAGCAUCUAUUAUCAGCGCAUGCCACAUUUCGGGUCCACUAGGGUGAUUCGGGACCAGUCGUGUCAUGGUUUUAAAAAUUUUUAUGGUUCGUGCAUGUUCAGUAGGUAUGUUUACAUGUCGUGGUGGCAGAAAUCACAAGCUCUCUAACUCGAAUGUUUGGAACAAAAAAUGAUAGAUAUUUUUUUUUUUUUUUUUACAGAUUUAGAAAUGACUAGUAUGUAAGUGUGGUAGUUGUAGUGAUCCGAUGGUUGGAAAUGUUAUAAGUUGUUGGGUUGGAACUAUGUGUGUGUAACCUAUUAAGAUUUGAAUAGAUUGUGAUGAUUUUACGGGCAUUCGAAGUUAUAGAUGUUACAAUCACUUAAUUAUCAAUUUAUUUGUAGAACUACAUGAUUUUUUUUAUGUGUACAUAGGAAAAAUUUUAGUUAUAGCAUGCAAGAUAAAUAUAGGGAAAUGAUAUAAUGUGUGAUUGGUGAUAAUCAGUGAGGAAUUUUAAUUAUUUUUGAAGCCAAAUGGUCUUUAGUGUCAUCAAAAUUUUGUGGUGAUUUGUGGCCAUUUAUAUGGGAUGACAAUAGAAAUCAUAAUGGUGUAUGUUUAUGCUAUAUGAUAAGAAAUUG
rnacentral:lncRNA from 1 species